AAUAUCUGUAUGAAAAACACAAAAAUGAAAAGGGAAAACAGACAAUUGAUGAGACUGAAAACGGAGACGAAGACUUAGAUGAUGAUGAUGACAUAGCCACAUUGGUCAAGUGAAAGGUUUGCAGCUAGAAAGUGGAAGUUUUGUUGUGCUAAGGCAUAGAAGAAAAAAAAAAUCACACACACAACGAAAAUACAUACAUAUGCAUGUACAUAUUACACAGAUACUCAGAAGGUUGACCUACUUCAGACCAUUAGCGAGCGUUGGAGGCAUGCAAAAAUGUCUCUCCAAGUGUACUUUGGUCGAUCGGUCCCAUGGCCCAUUUCCCUAAUCCCCCAAAAACCGGUUUGUCACUUCUUCUCUUUCAAUACGUUCUUUACUCUCUUAUUUGUUUACUUUUAGCGGUGUUGGCCAUUGGCUCCAAGUGGGAAGCAUAACUGUAAGUCACACACACCCAAAAUGCCUGGACAACGAUUGAAUUGAAUUUGCCAGGCACGGACUAAGACUGCUUUUAGGCGCCGGAAAAGCUUAUUGAAACAGUAACUGAACAAAAAGGGUACUGGGAGAGGUAGGCAGGCAUCCGACCCUGGAAUUUUGAUUUUGUGUGUUAACCAAUCUGAUUAACAAUCGUGUUCUAAAAGAUUUCAAUAACACAAAAAGUGUGUCAAAAGGUAGACAGCGGUCUAACGGUAACCGUUCAGGUUUAGCACACAAGCCAACAACCACCAUACCAUCAUAACAACAACAACAACAACAACUACCACACCAACAAUAUCGGCCAGCAGCUGUUCAGAAUCGAAUCGAAUUCUAAAGCGAAUGAAAUCGCAGCAAGGUGCUAACUGCAUUUGGGUAAAAUGACCGAGACCGUUAAAUAAAGCAGAACAGAACGUGAUCUACAAUUAAAGCUACCCACGAAAAUGCCACGUCGUAAGCUCACCUCAAAUACACAUCAGGAUUGGCCAGAUAACUUGCCCAAUCGGCCAAAUACAAAGUGGCCGAUUUAAUCCAGCGGCGACGGAACGAUUGAUUAUUCAGAGAUUCAAAGAGCUUAUCAUAGUCCAAUUUGCCAUCGCUGCUCUUGAAGCCCUGCAAAUAGUUGUUAUAGAAUGUUUUCAAAGAUUUUCUUAGAUAUAUCUAUGUAUGUUUAUAUAUCCAUCCUA